AUAAAGGCCUUGUGUAUGUAAAUGUCAGAUUAAUUAUAAAUAGUGCAGCAGUGAAAUAUUAAAUGAAGUGA